AUAUAAUGUGAAAGUUAGGAGUACAUUUCACUUGUGUCUGGUAAUUUUACUGGCAACAUACUACAAUUUGAUUGUGAUUGUUAUAUUUUAAAGGAUAUUCUACAGAAUUGGUCAGAUGAAGAUGCUCUGCUGAUAUUAUCUAAAGUUGAAUCAGUUGCUAAGAGAAAUAAGAGUCGUCUUGUGAUUAUUGAGAACAUGAUGCACACUGGCCACCAGCAGAAGAGAAGUUAAAGUCAUUUCUUGAUCUCACUAUGAUGUCAUUCAAUCCGUCACAUUCUCAUCUCCAUACAGUUGAUGAAUUGUUCUUUCUUCUUCAAGCGACAGGUUUCACAGAUCCACAGCUUUACUUCACUCAUACUACCUACAACGUCAUUGAAACCUAUCCAAAACUAAUCAGUGAUAGGUGGAGGCAGGGGUGUGGCUUCAAGUAAUAUAAACCAUAUAUGGAAAUAUUGUUAAUACAAUGAAAUGAUCAUUAAUGUACAUGUGUUAUCAAUUCUGUAUCUAAUUUUUUGUGAUUAUUAUU
rnacentral:lncRNA from 1 species